UCUGGUGAGACCAGGCAGGGUUGUCCCAGAUGUUGGUGCUGUCCCUCUUGGUAAUGGGAGAGGUGAGGGGGAAUGUGAGAGGCUGUGCAGGCUCCUGGUAGUCACAGUUUUGCUCAGAAGUGGGGCAGUUAGACAACAGCUAUGAAGAGCAGCGGUGCUGGGAGGAUUCAGUGCAGAACUGUGCAGUCACACAGCACAAGGGAAAGCCGUCCAGGAAAUGUGACCAGCGCUGCUUGUGUCCGAGGGUCCUAAAACGGCCUGAGAGACCCUGGAGCGGGCACAGGCACUGCACAGGAGCUCCGGGGAUACUAUGUCACUGCCUCCCAAAGUCAUGACAUUCAGAUACCUUUUACUGUGUGGAAAGAGCCUGCAGGAGCCCCGGCACAGGUACAGAGAAUCCUAGUUGCCUCAAAGGACCUGGAGCUGUAUGUGUUUUCUUUACCAAGACGUGAUCUCUUGGAUGCCUUGCUGCUGCUUCUGUGAUGCUCUGUGGAGCUGAGAGGACCAAAAAUACUAACAGUCUGUAACAGAGAUGAGUUAGUGUUUGCACUGUUUCAGGUAGGCUCAUUGGAAGUGCAGCUUAGUGUAAUCCAGCGGCAUGAUUCUUGCACAUGCUUACAUUUGAAUGUGGCUAAAACCAAGCCUGUGAUCAGCAACUUUGACACGUCUGGUGCACGUCUUCCUGUUCUGCUGCACGUCUGAAUGAAGGGAAAACUUCUUAAGAGCUAGAACCAACAAUAGUAAAUGCUGACGGAGAGGAAAGCCGGACAAGCGGUCUUUUUGUGAUUAAUACCUGAGGGACGAAGUGAAUGAAACGAGGAAGCAAAAAUGCAGUAGACCCCUGAUAUCCCCAGCACCUGCUGCAGAAGGAGGUGUUCUGCCACGGGCAAGUAAGGUGUGCAGAUAGACAGGGAAGGAUACAAUACUUACUCUUUCGGACAAAUUGCCAGGGCUGAAGUUGAAGAGACCAGAAAAACGUAAGCAAGCCGAGGUGCGAAAACCACGCGGAACCAGCCGAGAGCCGUCUCCGUCUCCCGCGAACGAAAGCCCGUCCUUCCUGACUAGGAAGGCUCACUGUUAGUAGCGAUCGAAAUAACGGAUCACAGACGUAUAACGAAGGCGUUCGUAACGUCGGGGAACGACUGCACGCUGCCGUGAAGAAUUACGGGCUACCGCCCUCGGACCUCUGCAAGUUAUCGCGUGCCAGGAGCGGCCGGUAGGAUCCAGAUGCCGGCGGAAAGGUUCUCCUCCCGGUCCCGACGAGGAGCCUUCGGCCGUAGGAAGGUCGGCCGCGUCCUUACCUGUGCUGAGCGUAGUCUGGCCGUCGAAAGAGCGUUGUCGUCGCCGGGAGCUCUCCGCGGAGAUCUGCGUCUGGCCGCCGAAGACGAGCGGAAGGCGAGCCCGGGCUUGCGGCGUGGACGCAGCUAAGUCCCGGGGCUGCGUUGCGUGUGAGCAGGGCUGGGACGUGGCAGUGGUUUUGCCCUUGGCGGUUACGGGCGUCACUGGCCGUGGAUGGUUGCCCGCGGAGCCGAGAGGAGCAAAACUAUCAACGGUCCGUGGGGGAGACGAAUUAGCGCUUGCGGCGUUUCAGAGCUGAAUCCUAUCCCCGAAGGAAAAAGCAGAAGGGGCAGGCCGUCGGCUACGCAGACGCCUGCCGCCUCGGGGGCUGCGGCGGGAGCUGACCCUUCCCUGACGGACGGGCGGACGGUCGGAGAGACGGUCGCUGGCGUGGCGAUGACUCUUCAGGUGUCACAGGGUAAGGGGAAGCAUGCCAGCACCGAGCUCCGUGGCAGGCUCGCUCCCAGGUGGCGUUCCUGCCCAGUAAAACAAUAAACAGCUGCUUCAUUCUU